GGAAGCGUGGCAGAGCGGCCGAAUGCAGACGCCUUGAAAGCGUCCGUAGGGUGAAACCUACCGGGGGUUCAAAUCCCUCCGCUUCCG
rnacentral:tRNA from 1 species